rnacentral:lncRNA from 1 species
GUCUCAGCGUGUCCCCCUGCCCUUGCGGUGUGUGACCUCCGGUCUACGGGCGGCUGUCGGCCGAGUGGCUCAGCAGUCACUCUUUCGUGUUUCACUCACCCGGCCUGGCCUUUGCCCCGCCGCCCUCGUUUUUCCCUGGCCAGCCGGGAGCCCUGUAAGGCGCUAGCCGGAGCGGCGGGGGAGUCGCGUCCGGGGCCCCGCGUGGCCGCCGCUCGGCCAUGACCCCCUGCCAGACUCGCUGCCAUUGUUCCCUCACUGGUUCCGUGCUCAGGGUAUUUUGACUUACUAGGGACUUUCACAUAGAUGGAGACUUGAGCCUGAAAAAUCGGCUAAAUCCUAACGUGCUCGCUUGGCCUGUGCAGGCUGGCUAUUGGAUUGCUAAUACUUGGGGAAAGAAUAAAAGGUCGUUCCCCGCCUCCACUUGAUUUAGACCACGUUGUGAACUUCAGAUACCUUAUUAAGAGCGAUUGCAAUUCUAACAUCUAGUGGUGGUUAGAAAUGGCGUUGUAAAUCUCUGCAUUUGUUGCCCUGUACCUGCAACAAGCUGCUCCCCAUUAGAUCUAAUUAGGUUAUAGGUAUACUGCUUUUGUGGCCUUAAAACCACUAUGUGGUUCAGUCUGUCCUAGAACUGAACCCUUUCACCUCCACAGGAGCUACAUGACCAUGUGUCGCCAUGCCCAGUCAGAAUCUCAAACUUGCCUGCCAGUAGCCAGAGAAUUCGUUGACUAUGAGCAUAGUCUACUUUACUUGUACUAUGAUAACCUUGUCACAGUAUUGUUAAAAAUAGCCAGAAAGGUGCAACGCAGCUGGGCCAUGAUUGAAGUGGGCUCAUCUUUGAUUCAUUUCACUUUAUGCUCACAAGCCUUUAUUAAAAUGUAGUUACGUGUUUAAGUUUUGUUACUGUUGCUGAUGGUAAUCUGUAAUCUCCUUUUUAUUACUGUAUAGCCAGUGACCAACAAAGUGCUGAAAAAACAAUAUUGAACAGAAUGUGUCUAAAGAGACAGGUUUGGAACAGACAUGUCAAGAAGCUAUAACAUAGUUAUUAAUGGUGGCCACAUUUACUGUUGUGUUAAUCUGCCUUUUGGGUUGAGAGUCUUGGAGGAUCUAGACUUGGGAAAUACAAAGAGCUGUUUGUCUAGUCAUGAAUGACAAUGGACACUGCAACUAGACUGUGACAUCUGCAGGGGUGAGGUGGUGUCUGAAGUCUUGUGAAGUAGGAUUGGUUUGUUGCUUUUUGUCCUGUGGCCUGGGGGAAUACUCAAAAGCUAGUAUCCCUUGAGUUUUUAAUUCAUAUCUCCUGCAGGAACCUGACAAAAGCUGUAGCUGGAGUUAGUUCUCUCUCUCAGGACAGGACUUUGUUAACCGGGGUCUAUGGGGAGUCACUAGGUGUUUAGUGGUAGCUCUGCCUUCUUUCUGGCUGGGGCCAAUAGCACCCCAUUUUCACUUGAGGAAAAGUAAAAGUCUUUGAGGAUACUUACAGAUGUUCCCUGGGGGAAUCCGAGUUCACAGCAGUAAACUCCACAAUGUCUUCCUGCUAUGCCUCUUACCCGCACACCUUCUGCUGGAGCUUUUUUCUUUUUUUUGUUUUGUUUUUUAAGACUGCCACUCAGGCCGGGCAUGGUGGCACACACCUUUAAUCCCAGCACUUGGGAGGCAGAGGCAGGCAGAUUUCUGAGUUCGAAGCCAGCUUGGUCUACAGAGUGAGUUCCAGGACAGCCAGGGCUACACAGAGACACCAUGCCUUGAAAAACCAAAAACCAAACCAAAACAAAACAAAAAGCCCCAGAACCCUGCCACACAGGUCUCUUGUCUCCUCUAUGCUUUUUAUCCUUGAAGGAGUCUGGCUCACUCCCUUGUUAAGCACUGUUACCUAGAGAAUAUGGUGUAAUGGUAAUUAUAUGUGGUGCUUAGGACAUUUGAAAUAUACAGGGGAAGUAUGAAGCCGGAGUGAGUAUGCUUGAGCAUGUGUGUGGUGACAGUGGGUAAAAGGCAGGGCCUCUGCUUUGCCACCAGCUGGUGUAGUGUCAGAAAAGUGACAGCAAUCUAGACAUGAACACUUAGGCUUCUGUGCACAUUCCUGCAUUUAAUUAUGAAUGCUAACGACACUUGUGGUAACAUUUUCCCUUUUCUGCCUAUCGGCGGUCACUUUAAGAUAGUAUGCAACAAGAACUUGCUGAUUUGCUAUCCAAAAUCCACCUCAUGAAAUGAAACUGCGCCUCUGGAGAUGAAAGAUGACAGGCUUAUUGAUGUGUUUGGAUGCGUGCUGGGUUCCUGCGAUGAGGUGAUUGGAAGUCAUUAAAACAUGAAACUUAAAGAGAACUAUCAUUGUCUUCAAAUUUAAGAUCUGGAAAAAAUAGAUGAAACACAUCUUUGAUAAAUUAUUUGGGGUAAAUGAAAAUCUGUAUGUGGCUUCAUCCACAGCUAUCAAAUGGCCAUCACAUGGGGUGCACUUGUGAUUUUUAAG